rnacentral:rRNA from 1 species
UGGGGAAUUUUGGACAAUGGGCGCAAGCCUGAUCCAGCCAUGCCGCGUGCGGGAAGAAGGCCUUCGGGUUGUAAACCGCUUUUGUCAGGGAAGAAAUCUUCUGAGUUAAUACCUCGGGAGGAUGACGGUACCUGAAGAAUAAGCACCGGCUAACUACGUGCCAGCAGCCGCGGUAAUACGUAGGGUGCAAGCGUUAAUCGGAAUUACUGGGCGUAAAGCGUGCGCAGGCGGUUUUGUAAGACAGAGGUGAAAUCCCCGGGCUCAACCUGGGAACUGCCUUUGUGACUGCAAGGCUUGAGUGCGGCAGAGGGGGAUGGAAUUCCGCGUGUAGCAGUGAAAUGCGUAGAUAUGCGGAGGAACACCGAUGGCGAAGGCAAUCCCCUGGGCCUGCACUGACGCUCAUGCACGAAAGCGUGGGGAGCAAACAGGAUUAGAUACCCUGGUAGUCCACGCCCUAAACGAUGUCAACUGGUUGUUGGGAAGGUUCCUUCUCAGUAACGUAGCUAACGCGUGAAGUUGACCGCCUGGGGAGUACGGCCGCAAGGUUGAAACUC